rnacentral:rRNA from 1 species
AGGGUUUGAUCAUGGCUCAGAACGUACGCUGGCGGCACGCCUAACACAUGCAAGUCGAACGAAGUAGCAAUACUUAGUGGCAGACGGGUGAGUAACAUGUAGGUAUCUACCCUUUGGCCUGGAAUAACACGAGGAAACUUGUGCUAAUACCGGAUAAGUCUUUACGGAGAAAGCUUUAUGCACCAUUGGAUGAGCCUGCACUUGAUUAGUUUGUUGGUAGGGUAAUGGCCUACCAAGACUGUGAUCAAUAGCUGAUUUGAGAGGAUGAUCAGCCACAUUGGGACUGAGACACGGCCCAAACUCCUACGGGAGGCAGCAGUGGGGAAUCUUGCACAAUGGAGGAAACUCUGAUGCAGCGAUGCCGCGUGAGUGAAGAAGGCCUUUGGGUUGUAAAGCUCUUUCGUCGGGGAAGAAAAUGACUGUACCCGAAUAAGAAGGUCCGGCUAACUUCGUGCCAGCAGCCGCGGUAAUACGAAGGGACCUAGCGUAGUUCGGAAUUACUGGGCUUAAAGAGUUCGUAGGUGGUUGAAAAAGUUGGUGGUGAAAUCCCAGAGCUUAACUCUGGAACUGCCAUCAAAACUUUUCAGCUAGAGUUUGAUAGAGGAAAGCAGAAUUUCUAGUGUAGAGGUGAAAUUCGUAGAUAUUAGAAAGAAUACCAAUUGCGAAGGCAGCUUUCUGGAUCAUUACUGACACUGAGGAACGAAAGCAUGGGUAGCGAAGAGGAUUAGAUACCCUCGUAGUCCAUGCCGUAAACGAUGUGUGUUAGACGUUGGAAAUUUAUUUUCAGUGUCGCAGCGAAAGCGAUAAACACACCGCCUGGGGAGUACGACCGCAAGGUUAAAACUCAAAUGAAUUGACGGGGACCCGCACAAGUAGUGGAGCAUGUGGUUUAAUUCGAAGAUACGCGCAGAACCUUACCAACACUUGACAUGUUCGUCGCGACUCUAAGAGAUUAGAGUUUUCGGUUCGGCCGGACGAAACACAGGUGCUGCAUGGCUGUCGUCAGCUCGUGUCGUGAGAUGUUGGGUUAAGUCCCGCAACGAGCGCAACCCUCACUUUUAGUUGCCAUCAUUUAGUUGGGCACUCUGAAAGAACUGCCAGUGAUAAGCUGGAGGAAGGUGGGGAUGACGUCAAGUCCUCAUGGCCCUUACGUGUUGGGCUACACACGUGCUACAAUGGUAUUUACAACAGGAAGCAAAACGGCGACGUUAAGCAAAUCCUCAAAAGAUACCUCAGUUCGGAUUGCACUCUGCAACUCGAGUGCAUGAAGCUGGAAUUACUAGUAAUCGUGGAUCAGCGUGCCACGGUGAAUGCGUUCCCGGGUCUUGUACACACCGCCCGUCACACCAUGGGAGUUGGUUCUACCUUAAGGCAAGGUUUUAAACCCUUGACCACGGUAUAGUCAGCGACUGGGGUGAAGUCAUAACAAGGUAGCCGUA